rnacentral:rRNA from 1 species
UACGAAGGGGGCUAGCGUUGCUCGGAAUCACUGGGCGUAAAGCGCACGUAGGCGGAUCUUUAAGUCAGGGGUGAAAUCCUGGAGCUCAACUCCAGAACUGCCUUUGAUACUGAGGAUCUUGAGUCCGGGAGAGGUGAGUGGAACUCCGAGUGUAGAGGUGAAAUUCGUAGAUAUUCGGAAGAACACCAGUGGCGAAGGCGGCUCUCUGGGACGGUACUGACGCUGAGACGCGAAAGCGUGGGGAGCGAACAGG